AGAACUUGUGUGUGAAAGUUGUGAACCACAUCCACCUCGAAUGGCAAAUUCAAGGCUUAGCACAGUUUCUUCAUGGCUACCAAUAGGGAUGGACCCUAUAGCUACAUAUUUGUUGGAAAUUAAACUAGCGGGGGAUCGAAAAAAGGCUAGGGUGGAAUAUGAUUGGUUUAUAUUCAGUAAGGUGGUAGACUCAAAUGUAUUACGCUACAAAGACUUUGUUGAUGACAUUGCAAAGUCAUAUCCAUGGGGGCCAAAUGAGACUGUUACAAUUGGCUACAUGGAUUUGGUUGAUAAAACCUCUCAUCAUGUCAAAACUGAUCUAGACAUGAUAGCAAUGUUUGAAAAGUUCAUUGAUAUCAAGGUGAUUCCAAUGAUUAUUCGUAUACAUGGUAUUGAUGAAAAUAUUGAUGAGUUAGACCACACUCUUGAUAAAGUAAACAUAGACGUGUUCGAUACUCCUUCUUUGGCAAUUCCCUCU
rnacentral:lncRNA from 1 species